GUCCAGAGUGGGAGGGGAGGACGGUUUAUGCAAACCAGAUGCAGAUGAAGGCUCAGAAGCUGCUGGCUUGGGAACACCACUUCCCAGACCUUGGGAUGAGAAUCUGACCCCUCGCAGGGGUUUUGGCCCCGAGUGGCAAGGAGACUGCUCUGGAACUCUCGCUGCCCCUACCAUCUGCAGGGCAUCCCUCACCACUGUCUGCUGUGCUUGGGCCAGGGCAUCCUUCAUGUGGGCCGCCUUGUCCUUCAGCCGCUGAACCUGAGCACCCUGCUCUUCCUGCUGGCCCUUGGCCUCCCGCAGCUCUACAGUUAAGCGACGGUUCUCCUCUUGGACCAUCUGGAGCUCGACCUGAUGGAAGAGGAAAGCAGCUUGAGGAUUUCUGUGCCGAGAGAGUCUGACAACACACACCUGCACGUGUUCACCCCAGAGUGGCUUCUAAGUCUAGGAAGAGGAUGCAUUGCCUGAGGUGGUGGCCCGAAACUACGGAAUGAGAAGCAUGCGGUUGAAAAGGGAGCUUGGCAUGAUGCAGGACUUGCCACAGCUCACAAACAAGCUACUUAGAGGCCUCUUUGCCCAAGCCUUUUAACUGGCCUAAUUAGAGUAACAAUACAAGUUGUUGCUAUGUUUUUUAUUUGAAAUAGGUGAAAGAUUUACACUAUUCUCACACCCCAAGUCACUUAAGGACUUGGGCGUUCCUUACCCCUGUGAGCCACCUCCAACCCUUGAAGAGUUCAAACUUCACCCCGUCUCUGUAUUAAAGGACUAGGUGCCGUGGUACACACCUGUAGUCCCAGCAUUGAAGAGGUAGAGGCAGGGGGAUGCUGGAGAUUUCAGUGCCUGUGUGGGCUGCACAGGAGACCCUGUCUCACAAAUAAAUAAAUGAAUAGUUACAU